UACGAGGGGGGCAAGUGUUGUUCGGAAUCACUGGGCGUAAAGGGAGCGUAGGCGGACGUUUAAGUCGGGAGUAUAAAUCCGGGGCCUAACCCCGGGACUGCUCUCGAAACUGGACGUCUUGAAUGGGACAGAGGCUGGUGGAAUUGGAGGUGUAGCGGUGGAAUGCGUAGAGAUCUCCAAGAACACCCGUUGCGAAGGCGGCCAGCUGGGUCCACAUUGACGCUGAGGCUCGAAAGCGUGGGGAGCAAACAGG
rnacentral:rRNA from 1 species